AAUGAGGCGAACCGGGGGAACUGAAACAUCUAAGUACCCCGAGGAAAAGAAAUCAACCGAGAUUCCCCCAGUAGCGGCGAGCGAACGGGGAGGAGCCCAGAGCCUGAAUCAGUGUGUGUGUUAGUGGAAGCGUUUGGAAAGGCGCGCGAUACAGGGUGACAGCCCCGUACACAAAAAUGCACAUGCUGUGAGCUCGAUGAGUAGGGCGGGACACGUGGUAUCCUGUCUGAAUAUGGGGGGACCAUCCUCCAAGGCUAAAUACUCCUGACUGACCGAUAGUGAACCAGUACCGUGAGGGAAAGGCGAAAAGAACCCCGGCGAGGGGAGUGAAAAAGAACCUGAAACCGUGUACGUACAAGCAGUGGGAGCACAGAGCAAUCUGUGUGACUGCGUACCUUUUGUAUAAUGGGUCAGCGACUUAUAUUCUGUAGCAAGGUUAACCGAAUAGGGGAGCCGAAGGGAAACCGAGUCUUAACUGGGCGUUAAGUUGCAGGGUAUAGACCCGAAACCCGGUGAUCUAGCCAUGGGCAGGUUGAAGGUUGGGUAACACUAACUGGAGGACCGAACCGACUAAUGUUGAAAAAUUAGCGGAUGACUUGUGGCUGGGGGUGAAAGGCCAAUCAAACCGGGAGAUAGCUGGUUCUCCCCGAAAGCUAUUUAGGUAGCGCCUCGUGAAUUCAUCUCCGGGGGUAGAGCACUGUUUCGGCAAGGGGGUCAUCCCGACUUACCAACCCGAUGCAAACUGCGAAUACCGGAGAAUGUUAUCACGGGAGACACACGGCGGGUGCUAACGUCCGUCGUGAAGAGGGAAACAACCCAGACCGCCAGCUAAGGUCCCAAAGUCAUGGUUAAGUGGGAAACGAUGUGGGAAGGCCCAGACAGCCAGGAUGUUGGCUUAGAAGCAGCCAUCAUUUAAAGAAAGCGUAAUAGCUCACUGGUCGAGUCGGCCUGCGCGGAAGAUGUAACGGGGCUAAACCAUGCACCGAAGCUGCGGCAGCGACACUGUGUGUUGUUGGGUAGGGGAGCGU
rnacentral:rRNA from 1 species